rnacentral:rRNA from 1 species
GCGAGUGAAGCGGGAAGAGCUCAAAUUUCGAAUCUGGCGGCCCUCGGUCGUCCGAGUUGUAAUCUAGAGAAGCGUCUUCCGCGCUGGACCGUGUACAAGUCUCCUGGAAGGGAGCAUCGUAGAGGGUGACAAUCCCGUCUCUGACACGGAACCCCCAGGGCUAUGUGAUGCGCUCUCGACGAGUCGAGUUGUUUGGGAAUGCAGCUCAAAUCGGGUGGUAAACUCCAUCUAAAGCUAAAUAUUGGCGAGAGACCGAUAGCGAACAAGUACCGUGAGGGAAAGAUGAAAAGCACUUUGGAAAGAGAGUUAAACAGUACGUGAAAUUGCUGGAAGGGAAACGCUUGAUGUCAGUCGCGUCGACCGGGGAUCAACCUUGCUUCUAGCUGGGCGUAUUUCCUGGUAGACGGGUCAGCAUCGAUUUUGGCCGUCGUAGAAGGGCGGGAGCGAACGUGGCACUCUCCGGAGUGUGUUAUAGCCUCCCGUAUGGAUGCGAUGGCCCGGGAUCG